rnacentral:rRNA from 1 species
AGCGAACGCUGGCGGCAGGCCUAACACAUGCAAGUCGAGCGGGCAUAGCAAUAUGUCAGCGGCAGACGGGUGAGUAACGCGUGGUAACGUACCCUUUGGUUCGGAACAAAUGAGGGUAACUUCAGCUAAUACCGGAUAAGCCCAUACGGGGAAAUAUUUAUAGCCGAAAGAUCGGCUCGCGUCUGAUUAGCUUGUUGGUGAGGUAAUGGCACACCACGGCGACGUACCGUAGCUGGUCUGAGAGGAUGAUCAGCCACAUUGGUACUAAGACACGGCACAAACUCCUACGCAAGGCAGCAGUGGCUAAUAGUGGAAAGUGGGGGGAAGGAUGAUCCAGCCAGGCCGCUUGAGUGAUGAAAGCCGUGAGGAUGUAAAGCUCUAUUAUGCGUGAAGAUAAUGACGGUACCUAAAGAAUAAGCCCCGGCUAACUUCGUG